ACUCUGUAGUUGUUUGGUAUUCAACCCACGCUCCUUUUUGAAGUGGCAGCACACACGAGCAUAUGCGUGCUCUCCUCGAUGCAUACAGGCGGCGCCGCCGCGGGCGCUCCUCGAUCCAUACGGGCGGCGCCGCCACCACCUGCGGCUGGUCUUCUUGUCCAGCCAUCUACCGCCCUUCUCCCCUUCCCAUUCGCUGCCCUCCUCUACCCUCCCGCCCCUAAUCUUAUCUGGCACUACCCCCAGCCUCCUGCUGCCGUGCCUCGAUCCAUACGGGCGUCACCGCCGGCGGGGAGCGGUCUUCUUCUCCGGCCAUCCGCCGCCCUCCUCCCCUCCCCCUCCCUCCUAAUCUUCUUCUUCUUCUCUGGCCAUCCGUCGCCCUCCUCAAAUCCCGCGGAGUUUGCCGGAGGAAAACCAUCCGUCGUCCGAACGUGCCACACCAGAGGGAAGCACCGGAAAGAGGAUGUUUCUAUGCAGCAUAACCCAAAAGUUUAAUUUGAUGUAUUCCAUCAAGCGUUGUACAAAGGAGCUCAACGACAACUGAGGUGCUGCUGGAAUUACAUCAGCUACUAACUUACGUUAAUCUAAUCAAUUCCUUGGCAUACUUUAGGAAACGAGGGUAUAUUGGGCGGUCUCCGACAGCCCGACGACAAUACAGAGUCGUCGUAGUUGGGUUGUGUUCAUGUAACACUGAAACUUGUCAUAGUUAGUGUAAGAAGGUUUGGUUUACUUCCACUAUGUUACUGUUCAGUCUAUUUUAUAAACAUGUUGAUUAGCCAUUCUGGCAAAAAGGCAUCUUCAAUAAUUCAGAAAUCUCUUUUCCAGAAACUCCAAUUCUCCUUAUAGGAAUUGAGAUGCCCAAUAUUUCUCAAUUUGCUGACAAGGCUGUAAUAUAAUCACGUUUUGCUAUUGACGUAAUGCUAUAUUCCUUGACUGAAAGCAAACCCUUUAAUUGCAUCUGUACUAAGCAUUCUUUCCGUCUAUAUCUUGUCAUGAUUUUUUUACUAGCUGCAGUGGUGUUCUUAUUAUUGUUAUUUUCCAGAAUUAUUGGUAUAAACCUUGUUCAUGGCUAACUUAUAGAAUAGCAAAUCUGGUUCAUGGCUAACUUAUAGAAUAGCAAACCUUGUUCAUGGCUAACUUAUACAAUAGCAGAAACUGAUUUGAAAAACCAUCAAUCUCAGGAACACUCUGACCAUGUAUUUGAUUCUGUUAAAGACCCAAUAUAUCAUGUGGUCCUGCAUCUCCUGAUGUUGAGCUAUAUAGACUGGUAUUUCCAGUAAAUUUUAUUGACAGGCACUUCGGCGUCGUUAACAAUUGACAGGCACUUUGGUGUCUCAGCAACCAGGUCGACACCGACCACCACGGUGGCUCGCAGCGAUGCCCUCCCGCCACCCUAUGUACGACCAUCGGCGAGAUGGGCGGGAACUCUUUGGCGUGCCGGCACACAGGAACGACACACGCCGUACAACCUGAAGGACAUGUUCGUCAGGCUUAACUUGACCUUCACUGACGCCACCUUGCCACCUAUGUUGCUGGAGAUCAGCCGAAGACUUAGCUUGUUGCCGCUUUGCUUCAAUGGUUGCUUUAAUGCUCUUGGACUGUCCGUAAUGAGCAGCUGAUGGUGCUUGGACGAAACAAUUGAUCAGAAAAUGGGUAGUGCUGUGCUGGUGGUCAUGUGUCCGCUGACUAACUGUAAAACACCUAAGAUGAUUUUUUCAGGACUUGAUACAUUCCAAUUACUCAUUGGUGUCUUCUUCUUACUGUGAUACUUGGUUUUACUUAGUAAUCUUAAGAUCAAUUUGUUCGAUU